ACAAGGCAAGCUGACCGUGUGAUACAUCUCUGGUAAGGCAGCAAUGUAACCAGCUCUGCUGGUUUGCUAGCUGCAUACUCAGCAGCACUCAAGGCAGUGCCAGGGACUGUGCUUCUAAGGACACUGAUGUAGCAGCUUCAUCUGACCUGAGGUGAGAAACUUGUGAGGAAGAUGGAAGACAGAUGGCACAGAGCAUCUGUGAACAAUUGCAGCUGUAGGCGAACUGCAGAAGAACUAUGGCUAUAUUUAUAAUAGCAUGUAAGUUUUGUUGCCUGAAAAUUCCUCUUGGCCCAGAGAGACUGAACUACAUCCAGCAAAACAGGACUGAACACAGAUCUACCUUUCCUUCGCUGCCAACUUCUGUAAUACUGAAAGGAUCCCCCCCCAACCCUGCUGCAAACACACCCACUGCAGUAUCUGCGUUUUAUUUAUUGCUGAAAUCCUGCUGACUCUUAGAACAAAUCUACAGCUCCUCUCUCCUAGUAGCAGGCCUACCUCAAUUGUAGGCAUCCAAGCUGCAACAGCUUCUGUCUGGCAAAGCUCCAUACUUGGUUUUCUA